rnacentral:rRNA from 1 species
GCUAAAAACCUAGCCCAACAAAUAUGAAUUUUACUAAAUAAAUUUUUUCCUUUUAAUAAACCAUUUUAACAUUCUAGUAAAGGAGAUUGAAAAACUUAUUGGAGCCAUAACGAAAGUACCGCAAGGGAAUGGUGAAAUAUAAAAUGAAAAACCAUUAAGCAAGAAAAAGUAAAGACUGCCCCUUGUACCUUUUGCAUCAUGGUUUAACUAGUCUAAUCAAGCAAAACGUAUUUAAGUUUGACUUCCCGAAACUAAGUGAGCUACUUCGGGGCAGCUAAAAGAGCGAACCCGUCUCUGUAGCAAAAGAGUGGGAUGACCCCCAAGUAGCGGUGAUAGACCUAACGAACUUAGUGAUAGCUGGUUACUCAAGAAAUGGAUCUAAGUCCAACCUGAAAAUUUUCUAUAGUAUACCAAAACAUCGCUUAAUUUUCAGCGUAAUUCAAAUAAGGUACAGCCUAUUUGAAACAGGAUACAACCUAAACUAAUGGAUAAGACUAACUAAAUUUACAAUCAAGUGGGCCUAAAAGCAGCCAUCUUUAAAAUAGCGUCAAAGCUUAAUUGUUACAGCGCCUAAUUACCCAACCCCCAUCUUAAUCCUUAAUUUAAUAAUGAGUAAUUCUAUAAUGUUAUAGAAAAUUUUAUGUUAAAACUAGUAACAAGAAGAAGACUCUUCUCUUUAAUGUAGGUGUAAAUCAGAAAGGACAAGCCGCUGAUAAUUAACGCCAUUGAAACUAAAAUAGAAACUCAUCAAGAAAAAUCUAUUUUCACCAACGUUAAUCUAACACAAGAACAUUUUAAGAAAGAUUAAAAGAAAAAGAAGGAACUCGGCAAAUGUUAACCUCGCCUGUUUACCAAAAACAUCGCCUCUUGACCCCAAUAAGAGGUCCAGCCUGCCCAGUGACCCUGUUUAACGGCCGCGGUAUCCUAACCGUGCGAAGGUAGCGUAAUCACUUGUUCUUUAAAUGUGGACUAGUAUGAAUGGCAUCACGAAGGUUAUACUGUCUCCUUUUUUUAAUCAGUGAAACUAAUCUCCCCGUGAAGAAGCGAGGAUGAAAAUAUAAGACGAGAAGACCCUAUGGAGCUUCAAACAAUACAGCACUUGCCCCCGAAAUUUAAGUUUCUGAACAUCUUAAUUCUUUGGAAAAUAUGACUGUAAGUUUUUGGUUGGGGUGACCGCGGAGCAAAGCACAACCUCCAUGUUGAAAGAAUUUUUCUAAGCUAAGAACAACCCGCCGAAGCAUCAAUACAUUGACAUCUAUUGACCCAAUAUAUUUGACCAACGAACCAAGUUACCCUAGGGAUAACAGCGCAAUCCACUUCAAGAGCUCCUAUCGACAAGUGGGUUUACGACCUCGAUGUUGGAUCAGGGUAUCCCAGUGGUGCAGCCGCUACUAAAGGUUCGUUUGUUCAACGAUUAAAACCCUACGUGAUCUGAGU